rnacentral:SRP_RNA from 1 species
CGCUUGGGCUUGGACGGCGGUAUACCGCCAACCUGGUCAGGGCCGGAAGGCAGCAGCCAUACGUGGUCACUGUCGAGCGUCCAAGUCCAAGGGGCA